AGUGAACGCUGGCGGUAGGCCUAACACAUGCAAGUCGAACGGCAGCACAGUAAGAGCUUGCUCUUACGGGUGGCGAGUGGCGGACGGGUGAGGAAUACAUCGGAAUCUACUUUUUCGUGGGGGAUAACGUAGGGAAACUUACGCUAGUACCGCAUACGACCUACGGGUGAAAGCAGGGGAUCUUCGGACCUUGCGCGAUUGAAUGAGCCGAUGUCGGAUUAGCUAGUUGGCGGGGUAAAGGCCCACCAAGGCGACGAUCCGUAGCUGGUCUGAGAGGAUGAUCAGCCACACUGGAACUGAGACACGGUCCGGACUCCUACGGGAGGCAGCAGUGGGGAAUAUUGGACAAUGGGCGCAAGCCUGAUCCAGCCAUACCGCGUGGGUGAAGAAGGCCUUCGGGUUGUAAAGCCCUUUUGUUGGGAAAGAAAAGCAGCAGGUUAAUACCCCGCUGUUCUGACGGUACCCAAAGAAUAAGCACCGGCUAACUUCGUG
rnacentral:rRNA from 1 species